rnacentral:rRNA from 1 species
CUCGUAGGUGGUUUGUCGCGUUGUUCGUGAAAUGCCACAGCUUAACUGUGGGCGUGCGGGCGAUACGGGCAGACUGGAGUACUGCAGGGGAGACUGGAAUUCCUGGUGUAGCGGUGGAAUGCGUAGAUAUCGGGAGGAACACCAGUGGCGAAGGCGAUUACCUGGGGUUGAUCUGACGCUGAGGAGCGAAAGCUAGGGGAGCAAACGGGAUUAGAUACCCCGGUAGUCCUAGCCGUAAACGAUGGAUACUAGGUGUAGGGGUGGUAUCGACUCCAUCUGUGCCGCAGUUAACACAAUAAGUAUCCCGCCUGGGGAGUACGGGGCCGCAAGGGGUUAAAACUCAAAGGAAUUGACGGGGGGCCCGCACAAGCCGGUGGAGCAUGUGGUUUAAUUCGACGCAACGCGAAGAACCUUACCUGGGCUUGACAUCUGCGGAAAUCCUAUGAAAGUAGGCUUCGGGGCAACCCGACCGCAAGACAGGUGCUGCAUGGCUGUCGUCAGCUCGUGCCGUGAGGUGUUGGGUUAAGUCCCGCAACGAGCGCAACCCUUGUCGUGUGUUGGUCCACAAGAUCUCUCACACGAGACCGCCGGUGAGAAGCCGGAGGAAGGUGGGGAUGACGUCAAGUCAGCAUGGCCCUUACGUCCAGGGCUACACACGUGCUACAAUGGGCCGGACAGCGAGCCGCAAACCAGCGAUGGUAAGCCAAUCUCUUAAACCGGUCCUCAGUUCGGAUUGAAGGCUGCAACUCGCCUU